CUCAGUUCGGAUUGGAGUCUGCAACCCGACUCCAUGAAGCUGGAUUCGCUAGUAAUCGCGCAUCAGCCACGGCGCGGUGAAUACGUUCCCGGGCCUUGUACACACCGCCCGUCAAGCCAUGGAAGCCGGGAGUGCCUGAAGUGCGUGACCGCAAGGAGCGUCCUAAGGCAAUACCGGUGACUGGGGCUAAGUCGUAACAAGGUAUC
rnacentral:rRNA from 1 species